AACUGAUACUACCUGCGGGAACCUGCGGAAGGAUCAUUACCAAGAGGAUUGCAAGGCGCGAGAGGGGGGGGUAGUUUACCUAACUCGCCCGAUCGGUCGGAUCCUGUGCCCACAUAUUGCUGAGAUGCCACUCAGGCGGCUCUCUUGCGGGGGACGUGGCACGCACCGCGUGCCCGUCUAUAGGCAGGCCUUCCCUUCGGAUGGGGCUUCUCUUCCGCCGUUUUUGCCUUCCACAACCUU
rnacentral:misc_RNA from 1 species